rnacentral:rRNA from 1 species
GAUGAACGCUAGCGGCGCGCCUAACACAUGCAAGUCGAACGAUUAAAGCACCUUCGGGUGUGUAUAAAGUGGCGAACGGCUGAGUAACACGUGGGCAACCUGCCCCUUUCAUUGGGAUAGCCACGGGAAACCGUGGAUAAUACCGAAUACUUCGAGACUUCCGCAUGGAAGACUCGAGAAAGCUCCGGCGGAGAGGGAUGGGCCCGCGGCCUGUUAGCUUGUUGGUGGGGUAACGGCCUACCAAGGCAAUGAUGGGUAGCUGGGUUGAGAGACCGACCAGCCAGAUUGGGACUGAGACACGGCCCAGACUCCUACGGGAGGCAGCAGUGGGGAAUCUUGCACAAUGGGCGAAAGCCUGAUGCAGCGACGCCGCGUGCGGGAUGAAGGCCUUCGGGUUGUAAACCGCUUUCAGCAGGGACGAGGCGAAAGUGACGGUACCUGCAGGGGGGAGCGGGGGGCUAACUACGUGCCAGCAGCCGCGGUAAUACGUAGGGGGCAAGCGUUAUCCGGAUUCAUUGGGCGUAAAGCGCUCGUAGGCGGUCUGUUAGGUCGGGAGUUAAAUCCGGGGGCUCAACCCCCGCUCGCUCUCGAUACCGGCAGACUUGAGUUUGGUAGGGGAAGGUGGAAUUCCUAGUGUAGCGGUGGAAUGCGCAGAUAUUAGGAAGAACACCAGUGGCGAAGGCGGCCUUCUGGGCCAUAACUGACGCUGAGGAGCGAAAGCUAGGGGAGCAAACAGG